rnacentral:tRNA from 1 species
GCUCCCAUGGUCAAGUGGUCAAGACACCGCCCUCUCACGGCGGUAACAGGGGUUCGAAUCCCCUUGGGAGUGCCA